AACGAACGCUGGCGGCAUGCCUAACACAUGCAAGUCGAACGAGACCUUCGGGUCUAGUGGCGCACGGGUGCGUAACGCGUGGGAACCUGCCCUUAGGUUCGGAAUAACGUUUCGAAAGGAACGCUAAUACCGGAUAAUGUCGUAAGACCAAAGAUUUAUCGCCUUUGGAUGGGCCCGCGUAGGAUUAGCUUGUUGGUGAGGUAACGGCUCACCAAGGCGACGAUCCUUAGCUGGUCUUAGAGGAUGAUCAGCCACACUGGGACUGAGACACGGCCCAGACUCCUACGGGAGGCAGCAGUGGGGAAUAUUGGACAAUGGGCGAAAGCCUGAUCCAGCAAUGCCGCGUGAGUGAUGAAGGCCUUAGGGUUGUAAAGCUCUUUUACCAGGGAUGAUAAUGACAGUACCUGGAGAAUAAGCUCCGGCUAACUCCGUGCCAGCAGCCGCGGUAA
rnacentral:rRNA from 1 species